AUACGGAGGAUGCAAGCGUUAUCCGGAUUUAUUGGGUUUAAAGGGUGCGUAGGCGGUUUGCUAAGCGGGAGGUGAAAUGCCGGGGCUUAACGUCGGAAGUGCCUCCCGAACUGGUGGACUUGAAUGACUCUGCCGUGGGAGGAAUGAGUAGUGUAGAGGUGAAAUGCAUAGAUAUUACGCAGAACACCGAUUGCGAAGGCAUCUCACGAAUCCGUCAUUGACGCUGAGGCACGAAAGCGUGGGGAUCAAACAUGAUUAGAUACCCUGGUAGUCCACGCAGUAGACGAGGAUGACUAGCCGUCGGCGAUACACAUUCGGUGGCCAAGCGAAAGCGAUAAGUCAUCCACCUGGGGAGUACGGUCGCAAGAAUGAAACUCAAAGGAAUUGACGGGG
rnacentral:rRNA from 1 species